GUUUGGUAGCAAAUUCAUUAGCUCACUCAGAUGCAUCCUGUAUAUAGUAAACAUUCUUGUGUUAUAAGUAACCAUCAAACAAAAUUUCUUUCCUCCAGGCACAAGACCGUAUAUGCCUCCAGAAUAUUAUGACAGGGGUUUUUACCAUGCAAAGUCCGCAACAGUGGGGGUGCUUCUGUUCGUAAUGCUGCAUGGACGUUUUCCACAAGCCAUUAACUUGAGCAAUGACCGGUCUGUUUUUGCUGUGUCACAAGAAUGCAUCCAUUUUUUUUGUCGGCUUGUCUGCAGAGUCAUCCAGAGCACAGGAUUCUUCUGGAGCAGAUGGCUUAUCGUGACUGGUUGAUGUUGGUUUUUCCUAAACACCCACCCCGUAAAUGCAUCGAACCAGCAUUCCAAUAAUCGAUGAAAGUCACUGCAUAAGACAUGGAGAAAAGCAGAAAACGGCCACCCAGUGGUUUUCUCUCUUCAGUCAGCAUUAUAUCUGGCAGGCUGACAUGAGUGGCCUUUCCAUCCCUUAGAUUUUCCUGUAUCUUCAGAAUCCGCUACAGUCCCAAAAGUUCCUGUCAAUUCUAGAGCCCCUUGUCAGGUUCCUAUCAUUGCUACAGGUUCUCCACCCAACUGAUUCCUCUCAUUGCUGACCCAGAGGUUCUUGCCAUGGUUGUCAUGGAUGCAAAGGUUCAUGUCAUGCCAGUGCCCAAGACCAGUCACACAUAUCUUGUCUCAGCCUCCCCAAUCCCAGAGGUUCCUUUCCUGGCUGCUACAGAGGUUCCUGAAGAUCCACAAUCCAUUACAGUAGCAGAGGUUCAUUUCCUGGCUUCAACAGAGGUUCCUGAAGAUCCACAAUCCAUUACAGUAGCAGAGGUUCCUGCCAUUACAGGCUCAAAAUAACUGGAGAUGGCAGAUGGGUCCAGAAAACAAUCUGCAGGCACAGAGAAUGAUUUACAAGUGCAAUAAAUAAUGUAUAAAUAAAAUAGCACAAAGUUGUAUUCUUUAACUGUGGAUAACUCUAAAUUAAAUGUCUUUAUUUCUCAUUUUGAUGCACAAGAUUUUUUUUGUGCAGUAGCUCAAAAAUUGUCCCGUAAUGUGACAUUAAUAGUCAACAAAAAUAGUUGUGUAUAUUUACCUAAUAAAAAUUCUAAUUUAUUCUUUAAGUUGGAAGCAUGUUUUUUACAAAAGUUGUA